rnacentral:rRNA from 1 species
AUUGAACGCUGGCGGCAUGCCUUACACAUGCAAGUCGAACGGUAACAGGUCUUCGGAUGCUGACGAGUGGCGAACGGGUGAGUAAUACAUCGGAACGUGCCUAGUAGUGGGGGAUAACUACUCGAAAGAGUGGCUAAUACCGCAUGAGAUCUACGGGUGAAAGCAGGGGAUCGCAAGACCUUGUGCUACUAGAGCGGCCGAUGGCAGAUUAGGUAGUUGGUGGGAUAAAAGCUUACCAAGCCGACGAUCUGUAGCUGGUCUGAGAGGACGAUCAGCCACACUGGGACUGAGACACGGCCCAGACUCCUACGGGAGGCAGCAGUGGGGAAUUUUGGACAAUGGGCGCAAGCCCGAUCCAGCAAUGCCGCGUGCAGGAUGAAGGCCUUCGGGUUGUAAACUGCUUUUGUACGGAACGAAAAGCCCCGGGUUAAUACCCUGGGGUCAUGACGGUACCGUAAGAAUAAGCACCGGCUAACUACGUGCCAGCCGCCGCAGUAA